rnacentral:rRNA from 1 species
GAUGAACGCUGGCGGCGUGCCUAAUACAUGCAAGUCGAGCGAACGGACGAGGAGCUUGCUCCUUUGACGUUAGCGGCGGACGGGUGAGUAACACGUAGGUAACCUACCUAUAAGACUGGGAUAACUUCGGGAAACCGGAGCUAAUACCGGAUAAUAUUUCGAACCGCAUGGUUCGAUAGUGAAAGAUGGCUUUGCUAUCACUUAUAGAUGGACCUGCGCCGUAUUAGCUAGUUGGUAAGGUAACGGCUUACCAAGGCAACGAUACGUAGCCGACCUGAGAGGGUGAUCGGCCACACUGGGACUGAGACACGGCCCAGACUCCUACGGGAGGCAGCAGUGGGGAAUUUUGGACAAUGGGCGCAAGCCUGAUCCAGCCAUGCCGCGUGUAUGAAGAAGGCCUUAGGGUUGUAAAGUACUUUUGUUAGGGAAGAAAAGGCAUUUGCUAAUAUCAGAUGCUGAUGACGGUACCUAAAGAAUAAGCACCGGCUAACUACGUGCCAGCAGCCGCGGUAAUACGUAGGGUGCGAGCGUUAAUCGGAAUUACUGGGCGUAAAGCGAGCGCAGACGGUUACUUAAGCAGGAUGUGAAAUCCCCGGGCUCAACCUGGGCACUGCGUUCUGAACUGGGUAGCUAGAGUGUGUCAGAGGGAGGUAGAAUUCCACGUGUAGCAGUGAAAUGCGUAGAGAUGUGGAGGAAUACCGAUGGCGAAGGCAGCCUCCUGGGAUAACACUGACGUUCAUGCUCGAAAGCGUGGGUAGCAAACAGGAUUAGAUACCCUGGUAGUCCACGCCCUAAACGAUGUCAAUUAGCUGUUGGGGUACUAGAUGCCUUAGUAGCGAAGCUAACGCGUGAAAUUGACCGCCUGGGGAGUACGGUCGCAAGAUUAAAACUCAAAGGAAUUGACGGGGACCCGCACAAGCGGUGGAUGAUGUGGAUUAAUUCGAUGCAACGCGAAGAACCUUACCUGGUCUUGACAUGUACGGAAUCCUCCAGAGACGGAGGAGUGCCUUCGGGAGCCGUAACACAGGUGCUGCAUGGCUGUCGUCAGCUCGUGUCGUGAGAUGUUGGGUUAAGGCCCGCAACGAGCGCAACCCUUGUCAUUAGUUGCCAUCAUUAAGUUGGGCACUCUAAUGAGACUGCCGGUGACAAACCGGAGGAAGGUGGGGAUGACGUCAAGUCCUCAUGGCCCUUAUGACCAGGGCUUCACACGUCAUACAAUGGUCGGUACAGAGGGUAGCCAAGCCGCGAGGUGGAGCCAAUCCCAAAAAACCGAUCGUAGUCCGGAUUGCACUCUGCAACUCGAGUGCAUGAAGUCGGAAUCGCUAGUAAUCGCAGGUCAGCAUACUGCGGUGAAUACGUUCCCGGGUCU